rnacentral:lncRNA from 1 species
GCCACCACAAAUGCCGCCGCAAGGUAUGCAGAUGCAGAGGCCUGGUGGACCUCCGCCACCUAUGGCACCGCCACCACAGUUCAGGCCGGGUGGUGGUCCACCACAACAGUUUCCACCGCAGUUUGGUCAGCGGCCCAUGGUUCCUCCGCCUCCUAUGAUGAGGGGUCCACCACCACCUGGUGCUCCACCUAGACCAGGAAUGCCUGGUGGUCCUCCUGGUCAACCACCUCGCCCUGGUAUGCCACCACCACCUCCAGGUGGUCAGGUUCCUGUUUAUGGACCUCCUCGUCCUGGUAUGCCUCCACCGCCAAAUGCUCCUCCACAGAAUCAGC